UUCGGCGCGGGAUGCUGCGGAACGCAGCGCGUGCGAGGUUCACGCCGACGCCCGGCGUCGCGACGCCACUCUCGCACGCAACGCCGUCGCCGGCCGUCGCCCGUCGUCGUCCGACCGUCUCUUUCUCUAUCUACUUCUGCCGAGCCGUUCCGCCAGGAUUUUUCGCACCGACGAGGCUUCGGCGCCCGGCGACGCGGAUCUCGCAGCAAGUGCAUCUCUUUGCGGCGAACGGGGCGCCCGACAUCGCGGUGUAAUCAGACACCGGCGCAAGAAGGAAGACGGGGAUGUAGAGACGUAAAUGUAAUUGGAAACAUCCGAGAGGGAGAUUUGCCUCUCGUUUCUGAUCCACGCCGCGCGGCUUUGCCUGUUUCCAUUCUUCCUUCGGACCAUACGUCGCAAAUGCAAGCGCCAUGCCGCCGCUUUAUCUCGCGUUCAUCUGCGAACUUUCGCGAGGUAUGAUAACUUACGGAAAUAUGUGUAUCUUUUCGGGACAGAUUGUCAUCUUUUGGAAUUGCUGACUAUUAAAUAUAAAAGACUCUCGCAGUAAUAAAGAUUGAUAUGCUAGAGAUGCAAUUAUCGUUGAUCGUAAUUAAAGGGAUAUGAAUACGGCUCGCUCUAUAAUUACGCAAUUUUUCAGAUAUUAAUAAUAUGUUUUUUUUUACGCGACUUUUUUCAAAGAUAUUAUAUUUACGCGGAGAGUUUCACACGACAUACGCAUGGCUAAGGGAGAAAAGCGCUUUCUUUGUGACGACGUUUACCAUUACGUACGUGCAGCUUUGUAAAUGGCAGGGCGCGCGCGCCACGCAUGAUUAAGCAGAGCCCGGCGAUAAUGCGCUGCGUGCGGCUCUUCGGCGUAAAGAAGGUGUAAAUACCUCUGGAUGAUUCCUCGUCCAAGGAUCGAAGCGGAUCGCGCAAAGGGAGCCGACACGGAGGCGGCUCCUUUCUCGUCGAUAGUUUCAAUGGAGAGUUUUUCUCAUAGAGAGCCACUCGCGUCCCCCUUCUCUCUCUCACUCUUUCUCCCUUUUUCCGUCCCUCUUCGUGCCGAGGUACGCGUGUGCACGGAAAACGAUAAAAAAGACGAGAUCUCAAAAGGUACGCGGAGCACCGCCUCUGAUGAAUGCCGCAACCAGUUGGCCACCAUGUUUUCCCUCCGCCGGUGUGUGUACGCCCUACUCUCCGAAACAUCCCCUGUGCCGCGUCCCUCCGUAUGCCGACUUCCAACCCCUCGCAAAACCGCGAUUGAACCCUUGUACAUCCAGCGCGUACAUACUGCGUAUACUAUGGCAUACAGAGAUGAUUUUACUUGCGCUUUGUGAACGAGGAAUAGGUAACUUGUACAGUUGUCGAGCAAUGCUGCAGAAAUGCACACUAAUAAAUUGAAUUUGCAACCAGUGAUUUUAGAGCAAGAAUGAAAAAUUAUUGAUAUGCUUCGCAGGAGAGGAUGCACGCUCUAUUUAUAUAGUAUAUAUAAUGUGACUGGUAAAAAACAUUGACAUGUAUAAUGAUAAAAAAAAAGAGAAAAAAAAAGAAAGGGAGAGAAGCCAAACAACAAAGCUCUAAAUGAACAUCUGGAUAAAUACUGAUUAAAAUUCUUUAAUCAAUCAUAUCUGCCAGUUAUAAAAAUAUUACGUUAUCGUCUUCAGUUUAAGAACGCGAAAAGAUCGCUCGCGAAAAAAGCGCUCUUCGGUUUUAUUACUUCGUAAUAACGGAUCGGACGUAUACAAAGUGCACGACGGGGAGAGAAGAAAGGGCAAAGAUGAAGGAAGGAAAGCACAGAAGAAGAUAGUGAAAAAGAAAAAAAAAGACGACGCGGACAGAGAGCGAGAGGAAGAGAAAGCCGGCCGAUAAACAAACUGCCGAGGAUCGCGGCACUUUAAUCUUCCUUUAGAGGCAUCGGCCGCUCUUUGCGGCGUUGAAUGAAAAGAGAGCAGGAGUGGAGGAGGGAGGGAGACCCGACCCCACCAUCCCAUCUCUCCCUCCUCGAUGCACUCGACCCCGCGACUCAUUAUGGCAACAUGCGGUAAGUAUGCUCGUGUUUAAGUCUCGGUUCUACCCUUCGGGCGAAGGCUACCCCAAACGACGUCUCAGUAUUAGUUACACGUGUAUAUGUGCCCGUUGUAAAAAAGCGAUAGUCGAGAGCCAGGAACACGACGAAGGUUACCGCAUUACGGCACUGUCGAAACCGGCGGGGCCGGGGACAGGGUGGAGGAGCAUCCCUUAUUUCGCGGCGGGGCUCGUUGCACGGCUCGGCGCAUCCGAAUAGUCUCACUCCCUUGAUCCGGGGUUCCAGGUGGUUCCUGACCCCCUCUCUCUCUCCCCCGGACAUACUCUCGAAAAUUAGGCAUCGUGGAUACUGAGCCGAUGGUAUGCGUUUUACAGCUGCGACGCGAUAGAAACGGCCAGAAAGCGGCGCGCGUGUCUAUAUCUUUGUCCUUCUAGUCCUCGCCUUUAAAAAGUACGAUACUUUCGGUAUUCUGUUAAAUUAACUAUAGGUACAAAGCUUAAAAAUGUAUCUGAAAUGAUAUUGAUUUGAUAUAAUGUGUUUAAAUUAAGUUGAAUUUUUAUGGAAAUUUAAUGAAGUUAAUAAGUAGAAAAAAAAAAUUAUUUACAUUAUUAGAGUUUACAGAAGAAUAAAUAUUAAAGAAGGUAUACUCAUUUCGAAACAUUGGAGUUUAAACUUGAAGUUAAACUAUCUUCUUGGGUACUACGAAAUUUAUAAGAAAAAAAAAAAAAGAAAUGAAAUAUAAAUAUGUAUUCCCAUAAACUUUCUUAGCCACUUUUGCAGUUGGAAUACAUUGACGAAACUCCGUAAUAUACUUCUUACGAAAACUUUCAUUGAAACUUGAAAUUCUACAAUUUAAGAUAAGCCAUCUUUGUAAAUAUAAAAAAAAUAAGCAUCUACAUAACCGAAUAUGUAAUUCCUGCGAAAAAGCCCGCGACAAACGUGGAAUGAGGUUUUUAUCAAGUAAAUCAAAACCGAAAAUCAAACGAUUGCAAUUGGACGUAAAUGCAGAAUGCGAAUAAGCUCCAUUGUGUCUAUCGCUACUUCGAGCAAUAUUUCGCGCGGAUAGCGCUUAAAUUCUCAGAGAGUGCGAUCAGGUAAGAGAAGAAGAGAGGCGGCCAGAGAGAACAUGGGAUACCGAGGCCCGGAGAUAAUCCCGAUGGUGAUGGCGACCAAUGCCGACGUGGUGGGACUUACCCCCACUUCUUGUACCGAGUGUUAACCCCCGGGUAAGAGGCAACGAUACCGCCGAGGUCUGAAAGGCCGCUGCGAAUAACGCGCUUACGCGCGAUCAUCCGACCGCGAUUCUCGAUGCCCGUGACAGAUCGUGCCGCGGCGUCCUUGUGAAUAUCGCGGGGCUAAAGCCUGCGCUAAAGAGCGAAAAGAGCCCGGAUGGAAAGGAGGGAGAGGGGCGCUAAGUCUUUCGUGGAUGGUCGGGCGCGCGCUUCGUCUCGACGACAAUACGGUGUAGAUUACUUUUCAGAAUAGGCGGCGUGACGUAAACGCGUCCCGGCGGUUUUCCUUCGCGAACAAUGCCCGUGUUUACCAACACAAUUUGGCUCGGAUUUAGGCGCAAAUGUAUGUGCGCCUAGAUAGCGUAGAAUAUAUCUAGCUUUAUCCUAUAUAUACGCAAAUGUCUAUAUUUAUUGUUAUAUUUACAUUGGCAAAUAUUAAAUUUUUUCAUAAAAUGUUAUUGAAAUAGAAAAUAAUAAACAACAGCAGGAGGAUUAGAAUUACUUAUAUUAUUGAUCACAAAAAAUAUUCAACUGACUAAAUGAUAUUCAUAUGUAAUAUUAGUUACACGAAAAAUAUGAAAAAUAUUGACGUAAUAUUUUCUAUAAUAAAAAUCCGAUCUUUUUAAUUUCAUCAUUUCUGGAAGUAUUCAGUUAUCCUCUUAGUUUAACCUUCCAGAAAUGCAGUUGUGGUUGAACAGGUUUGGUAGCCGAGAAGACGCAUCAUACGGUGAAUAAUAUUAUUUCACGCGGCAUGAUAUUAACGCGGACAUCUCAAGAAGUUAGAAAAGGGUCGAGCACAGCGCACCGCGAUCGAGAUUGAUUUGAUCUACCUCCGACAGGGUGCCAGACGAAACGAUAUGCCUGGAUAUUGGAGCCUGAUGAAGGCUUCUCGAAUGUCGCAUCGGACAGAGAGCA